GUGAACGCUGGCGGUAGGCCUAACACAUGCAAGUCGAACGGCAGCACAGUAAGAGCUUGCUCUUACGGGUGGCGAGUGGCGGACGGGUGAGGAAUACAUCGGAAUCUACUUUUUCGUGGGGGAUAACGUAGGGAAACUUACGCUAAUACCGCAUACGACCUACGGGUGAAAGCAGGGGAUCUUCGGACCUUGCGCGAUUGAAUGAGCCGAUGUCGGAUUAGCUAGUUGGCGGGGUAAAGGCCCACCAAGGCGACGAUCCGUAGCUGGUCUGAGAGGAUGAUCAGCCACACUGGAACUGAGACACGGUCCAGACUCCUACGGGAGGCAGCAGUGGGGAAUAUUGGACAAUGGGCGCAAGCCUGAUCCAGCCAUACCGCGUGGGUGAAGAAGGCCUUCGGGUUGUAAAGCCCUUUUGUUGGGAAAGAAAAGCAGCAGGUUAAUACCCCGCUGUUCUGACGGUACCCAAAGAAUAAACACCGGCGAACUUCGU
rnacentral:rRNA from 1 species